GACGAACGCUGGCGGCGUGCUUAACACAUGCAAGUCGAACGAUGAAGCCUUUCGGNGUGGAUUAGUGNCGAACGGGUGAGUAACACGUGGGUAACCUGCCCUUGNCUUUGGGAUAAGCCCUAGAAAUGGGGUCUAAUACCGGAUANGANUGAUCCUCGCAUGGGGGUUGGUGGAAAGUUCCGGCGGCCAGGGAUGGGCCCGCGGCCUAUCAGCUUGUUGGUGGGGUAAUGGCCUACCAAGGCGACGACGGGUAGCCGGCCUGAGAGGGCGACCGGCCACACUGGGACUGAGACACGGCCCAGACUCCUACGGGAGGCAGCAGUGGGGAAUAUUGCACAAUGGGCGAAANCCUGAUGCAGCGACGCCGCGUGAGGGAUGACGGCCUUCGGGUUGUAAACCUCUUUCGACCAGGACGAAGCGAGAGUGACGGUACUGGUAGAAGAAGCACCGGCUGACUACGUGCCAGCAGCCGCGGUAAUACGUAGGGUGCGAGCGUUGUCCGGAAUUAUUGGGCGUAAAGAGCUCGUAGGCGGUUUGUCGCGUCGACUGUGAAAACCUGGGGCUUAACUCUGGGCCUGCAGUCGAUACGGGCAGACUUGAGUUCGGUAGGGGAGACUGGAAUUCCUGGUGUAGCGGUGAAAUGCGCAGAUAUCAGGAGGAACACCGGUGGCGAAGGCGGGUCUCUGGGCCGAUACUGACGCUGAGGAGCGAAAGCGUGGGGAGCGAACAGGAUUAGAUACCCUGGUAGUCCACGCUGUAAACGUUGGGCGCUAGGUGUGGGGAGCAUUCACGCUUUCCGUGCCGUAGCUAACGCAUUAAGCGCCCCGCCUGGGGAGUACGGCCGCAAGGCUAAA
rnacentral:rRNA from 1 species